rnacentral:rRNA from 1 species
CGAUUACGGGCGGUGUGUACANNNGCCNGGGAACGUAUUCACCGCGGCAUGCUGAUCCGCGAUUACUAGCGAUUCCAGCUUCACGCAGUCGAGUUGCAGACUGCGAUCCGAACUGAGAACAGAUUUGUGGGAUUGGCUUAACCUCGCGGUUUCGCUGCCCUUUGUUCUGCCCAUUGUAGCACGUGUGUAGCCCAGGUCAUAAGGGGCAUGAUGAUUUGACGUCAUCCCCACCUUCCUCCGGUUUGUCACCGGCAGUCACCUUAGAGUGCCCAACUGAAUGCUGGCAACUAAGAUCAAGGGUUGCGCUCGUUGCGGGACUUAACCCAACAUCUCACGACACGAGCUGACGACAACCACGCACCACCUGUCACUCUGCCCCCGAAGGGGACGUCCUAUCUCUAGGAUUGUCAGAGGAUGUCAAGACCUGGUAAGGUUCCUCGCGUUGCUUCGAAUUAAACCACAUGCUCCACCGCUUGUGCGGGCCCCCGUCAAUUCCUUUGAGUUUCAGUCUUGCGACCGUACUCCCCAGGCGGAGUGCUUAAUGCGUUAGCUGCAGCACUAAGGGGCGGAAACCCCCUAACACUUAGCACUCAUCGUUUACGGCGUGGACUACCAGGGUAUCUAAUCCUGUUCGCUCCCCACGCUUUCGCUCCUCAGCGUCAGUUACAGACCAGANAGUCGCCUUCGCCACUGGUGUUCCUCCACAUCUCUACGCAUUUCACCGCUACACGUGNAAUUCCACUCUCCUCUUCUGCACUCAAGUUCCCCAGUUUNCAAUGACCCUCCCCGGUNGAGCCGGGGGCUUUCACAUCANANUUAAGAAAACCGCCUGCGANCCCUUUACGCCCAAUAAUUCCGGACAACGCUUG